AUACCUUUCUCGGUUUUUUGGCUAAGAUCAAGUGUAGUAUCUGUUCUUAUUAAUUUAAUAUCUGAUAUGUGGGUCAUUGGCUUAUAUGAUAUUAUAUUAAUUUUUUGAGGGAGAGAGCCCAUUAGCUACUGGGGUUUCUCGUACGUCGCCUUGACAUUGCACUAUUGCCUUGGCUUGGCGUACCUCAC